AAAGGUCCAUCAGAGAAGGUAAAAAUCCUGUAGUUGAAACUUCGUUCCCUCCAGAGUGGAUCCUGAGUACGGCGGGACACGUGAAAUCCCGUCGGAAGCUGGGAGGACCAUCUCCCAAGGCUAAAUACUCCCUAGUGACCGAUAGUGAACCAGUACCGUGAGGGAAAGGUGAAAAGCACCCCGGAAGGGGAGUGAAAGAGAUCCUGAAACCGUGUGCCUACAAGUAGUCAGAGCCCGUUAAUGGGUGAUGGCGUGCCUUUUGUAGAAUGAACCGGCGAGUUACGAUUACAUGCAAGGUUAAGCUGAUGAGGCGGAGCCGCAGCGAAAGCGAGUCUGAAUAGGGCGUUUUGAGUAUGUGGUCGUAGACCCGAAACCAGGUGAUCUACCCAUGUCCAGGGUGAAGUCCAGGUAACACUGGAUGGAGGCCCGAACCCACGCACGUUGAAAAGUGCGGGGAUGAGGUGUGGGUAGCGGAGAAAUUCCAAUCGAACCUGGAGAUAGCUGGUUCUCUCCGAAAUAGCUUUAGGGCUAGCCUCAACGGAAGAGUCUUGGAGGUAGAGCACUGUUUGGACUAGGGGCCCUCAUCGGGUUACCGAAUUCAGACAAACUCCGAAUGCCAAAGACUUAUCGUUGGGAGUCAGACUGCGAGUGAUAAGAUCCGUAGUCGAAAGGGAAACAGCCCAGACCACCAGCUAAGGUCCCCAAGUAUACGUUAAGUGGAAAAGGAUGUGGAGUUGCUUAGACAACCAGGAUGUUGGCUUAGAAGCAGCCACCAUUUAAAGAGUGCGUAAUAGCUCACUGGUCGAGUGACUCUGCGCCGAAAAUGUACCGGGGCUAAACGUAUCACCGAAGCUGUGGAUUGACACCUCUGGUGUCAGUGGUAGGAGAGCGUUCUAAGGGCGUUGAAGCUAGACCGUAAGGACUGGUGGAGCGCUUAGAAGUGAGAAUGCCGGUAUGAGUAGCGAAAGAUGGGUGAGAAUCCCAUCCACCGAAUGCCUAAGGUUUCCUGAGGAAGGCUCGUCCGCUCAGGGUUAGUCGGGACCUAAGCCGAGGCCGAAAGGCGUAGGCGAUGGAUAACAGGUUGAUAUUCCUGUACCACCUCUUGAUCGUUUGAGCAAUGGGGGGACGCAGAAGGAUAGGGUAAGCGCGCUGUUGGAUAUGCGCGUCUAAGCAGCAAGGCUGAUGAUGAGGCAAAUCCUUGUCAUCGUAAGGCUGAGCUGUGACAGCGAGGGAAAUUUAGUACCGAAGUUCCUGAUUUCACACUGCCUAGAAAAGCCUCUAGCAAGAUCAAUGGUGCCCGUACCGCAAACCGACACAGGUAGGCGAGGAGAGAAUCCUAAGGUGAGCGAGAGAACUCUCGUUAAGGAACUCGGCAAAAUGACCCCGUAACUUCGGGAGAAGGGGUGCUCUGGUAGGGUGCAAGCCCGAGAGAGCCGCAGUGAAUAGGCCCAGGCGACUGUUUAGCAAAAACACAGGUCUCUGCGAAGCCGCAAGGCGAAGUAUAGGGGCUGACGCCUGCCCGGUGCUGGAAGGUUAAGGAGAGGGGUUAGCGCAAGCGAAGCUCUGAACCGAAGCCCCAGUAAACGGCGGCCGUAACUAUAACGGUCCUAAGGUAGCGAAAUUCCUUGUCGGGUAAGUUCCGACCCGCACGAAAGGCGUAACGAUCUGGGCACUGUCUCAACGAGAGACUCGGUGAAAUUAUAGUACCUGUGAAGAUGCAGGUUACCCGCGACAGGACGGAAAGACCCCGUGGAGCUUUACUGUAGCCUGAUAUUGAAUUUUGGUACAGCUUGUACAGGAUAGGUAGGAGCCGUUGAAACCGGAGCGCCAGCUUCGGUGGAGGCAUCGGUGGGAUACUACUCUGGCUGUAUUGAAAUUCUAACCCACGCCCCUUAUCGGGGCGGGAGACAGUGUCAGGUGGGCAGUUUGACUGGGGCGGUCGCCUCCUAAAAGGUAACGGAGGCGCCCAAAGGUUCCCUCAGAAUGGUUGGAAAUCAUUCGUAGAGUGUAAAGGCACAAGGGAGCUUGACUGCGAGACCUACAAGUCGAGCAGGGACGAAAGUCGGGCUUAGUGAUCCGGUGGUUCCGCAUGGAAGGGCCAUCGCUCAACGGAUAAAAGCUACCCCGGGGAUAACAGGCUUAUCUCCCCCAAGAGUCCACAUCGACGGGGAGGUUUGGCACCUCGAUGUCGGCUCAUCGCAUCCUGGGGCUGUAGUCGGUCCCAAGGGUUGGGCUGUUCGCCCAUUAAAGCGGUACGCGAGCUGGGUUCAGAACGUCGUGAGACAGUUCGGUCCCUAUCCGUCGUGGGCGCAGGAAAUUUGAGAGGAGCUGUCCUUAGUACGAGAGGACCGGGAUGGACGCACCGCUGGUGUACCAGUUGUCUUGCCAAAGGCAUCGCUGGGUAGCUAUGUGCGGAAGGGAUAAGUGCUGAAAGCAUCUAAGCAUGAAGCCCCCCUCAAGAUGAGAUUUCCCAUAGCGUCAAGCUAGUAAGAUCCCUGAAAGAUGAUCAGGUUGAUAGGUCCGAGGUGGAAGCACGGCGACGUGUGCAGCUGACGGAUACUAAUCGAUCGAGGACUUAACCACAUUUGGUUGAUUCCGGUUUAACAUGUCACUUACUCUUUAUCUAGUUUUGAGAGAACAA
rnacentral:rRNA from 1 species